UAGCUAGAACAUUUAUUUUGUCACAUACAGCAAUCAUCUCCUAACGAUCCACUAGCUGCCUGUCCGCUGAAUAUGCUAGCUCUCUGUUUUGUUUGAAACAUCAACCGCCGUGACGGCACCCAAAAAUACUUCGAGAACCUUCAACAUAGAAAUGUGGUUAACAUCAUAUUCAGACAAUCAAGCACAUAUUAACCGAGCACUCUAUACUAUUCAUUUUGUUCUUUUAUUUAUUUUUAAAAAGAAAAUGCUUUGCAUGUUUCAAGUACUCAAAAUAUAGGCUAUUUUUCUCGGUGUGUUUUACUUUUCGACACUUCCUCUGCUCAAGUGCAUGGUGCUAUUUCAAAAGGUCCUUGCUCACUUAACUGCUGAACUUUAAAGGCUCUCUGUCUCUACUACCUAGCAGCCACCAUGUCUAGCAACACAACAGUCUUUCUACGCAUUAUCUGUUUUAGCUUUCAAUGACAUGUUAAGUCACUUUUGCAUUGUCAUGCACUGGUAAUUCCUUGGAAUAACAUUUGUAGUUAUUUUGCUAAUAGGGUUGUGUAAAGGUGGUUAGAUUAUAUACCUAUUGUUAACCUUACACAUAACGCAUAACACUAAAAAGUACCAACAUAGCCAAUAAUAACAAGCAAUGACAAAUAUAAUGUUAACUCAACAAUAGCACAUACAUUACAAUAAUACGAAUAAUAAUGCAAUCAUAAUACAUUGAGUGUAGGCUUAAACAUGUUCAGCUACAAAACAAAUAGUAAUCAAUUAAAAUAAAAAGGUAAAACUAUAAAAAGUUAAUAAAAGUAUGGCUCCAUAAUCAAUUACAUUAACAGAAUGGCGAGGUGAUUUCUUAAAACUCAAAUGUAUUGCUUACCUACCUGUACAUGAAUUGCAUCCAAUUUUUCAGAGAGACCUUUGAAUGACUGAACAUUGACUUAUGCCGCACAGAUUUUUGUGUGGGCUUUCUGUAAUGUGCAGUCCGUCGACAGAUCCUAACAAACAGUAACAUACCGUUGUUGUUAUUUAGAGAGGUGCAUCAUACAAUUCAAAUACAAUCAGCACAAUUGUACAUGUCCCCAUAUUUUACUAUAAACUACAAAAUACAUGAUAAGGAAAAGCCCACAUAUCGAGAACUAUGAAUGGAAAUGUCAUGCAUAUUACGGAACAGCGCCAAAAGAUGUAGUGGCCAUAAAUAGGCUAAAUUCACGAGAAGAGAGUGUGCGCGCUUUAGUUCAAAUGUGUGUGGCAUACCCCCCAUUUUGUUUUUUCUUUGGUCCCUCUUUCAUGAACAUGUGCACCCCAAGUAGGCUUAUCAGACUAGUCCCAUAUGAAGUUGAAGAAAUAAAUUACUUCGUUUUUUUACAAUAAAAAAUUGCAGCAUAUCAUGCUAUUCAAACUGAAUGUAUCUCAUCUCAGCUAUCCAUUUCUUACCAAGCAUAUUGGUCCACACAGUUUCCUCUUCUCUUCAGCUCCAUGCCAUGAUAGCAUUUACUGCAUUUCAUUUUUCUUCUCAAAAGUUUUUUCCUCUGAAACCACUUAAUAAGCUUCCAAGCAUUUUGUUUAGAGACAUCCUGAUGUAGAAGGUUUCUCACACUCCUGAAUCUUGUCAUUGCACUGGUGAAUGAUGCCGCCAGGAUCGUGCUGCCACAGAAUCGAAUGCCUGCGUUCAGUAGGGAUCGCGUCAUCAACGUGGGACAAAGAAAGGUUUCGCGCUUAUUCUAUAGUGAUAGCCACCUGUUCCAGUUGGUGGACAGCAGCAGUAAUAAUGGCAAACAGAAAACGGAUACAGACUAGAGGAAGAAAAUAUGUAGAGGAGACAGAAGCGGAAGGCAGCAGUGUUGGUGUGUCAGCAGCCCCCACAGCACAGCUGGCACUAAACAAUAAAGCACAUGAGUUGCAGAUGUGCAAAAAGAAAAUGGAAUGGCAGAAUGAGAAAAUAGAGGAGUUGACCAAGGAGAGAGAUUUCCUCAAGGAACAACUAGUAUCCGGCAAGUCUCCCAACACAAUGUUUAGUCAAAGUGUUGGUUUGUUUUUAGUAGGGUAGAAGGAAGGCAUUGCGUGUCCUCUUCGCCUCCAGUCCGCCACAGUCAUCUGCCGAGUGGUCCAAGAAUGUACAGAUCCAUAUUAGCAGAUUCGCACAUUCCCUUUCCACAGUCCAUCAGGUUAUUGAACUGCUGUUAUUAACACACAACCGCAAACUCAUGAUGUUAAAGUCUUCGCUUAGUAAGGUUCUGGUUUAAGAGGCAGUCUUUGCUUUCAUUGAAAUAGUACUACUAUUGCUUGGCAGCAGGCUACAUCUAUCAAUUAAUGACAGGAACGUCUGUCUCUCAGUCUGCGUGUGUUUGUGUACCUGUUAUUCGCAUAUCUCCCGAAUACAAUUUACAUUAGUAUUGUGAUUGUUGUUUUAACAUUCACAUUAGUAUUAAAAUUACUUUAAAAAGUAGUGGGGGAAAAAGUGUGACCAUGAACUUGCAGGAUCUGGCUGUGCAUUGUAUGCGUGCCGUGCACAUAUGUGUUGUUAUGUAUUAUGUGUUGUGACUCUUAUGUUUGUAUUUUAAUCUUUUUAAACAGCUCUUAAAAAAGAUGAGCCCAAAGCAACUGCCGGUUCCAGUAGUGUCUCUACACUGGACUCAUCUUCCUCCGAGAUGAGUUCAAAGAGUACCGACUCAGAGUCAUCCAACAGCUCAUCCUCAGAGGACAAGAAGAGGAAGAAGAAGGGGAAAGGGAGAAAGAAGGCAUCCAAGAUGGUUAAAAUGGAAAAAACACUGCAAAGAGCCCGGAAUCCCGAGCAGGCUUUGGCCCGGUACAAAAAGAUUCUUAAAUACUACAAGAGGCUUGGAACCAUGUCUGGGGCAUUUCGAAAGGUCGGUGUUGACCGUAAUACAGUGGUGGUCAAUGCACCAAUCGCCGAGCUUUCCAUUGCUGCCCCAGACCAGUACAAGGAAGCUUUGAAAACGUAUACCCAUUCCACAAAAUUGAAAGCAUUUGCGGAACACUGUGCCUUGACAAUUCUAGGCGAUGUAGAAAUAGUUGACGCAGUCAACACGCUUAAAGCUAGUGGUAAGCUGCUACCACUGAAAAAGAAAUAAUUAUGUGCAUUUUGUAUUAUGCUUUACAUGUGUUCCUGUAAAGUAAUUUUUACAUUUUCUGUACAAUACCACUGUUCAUAUUUUAUCUGUAUUUUUUUGUUGUGUGUUCUUUGUUGAAAAGAAGAAUGUAUGUAGUUUAAAAUAAAUAUUUGUAAGUUUUCAGCACUUCAGCACAUUGCUUCUUUCACUUUUCUUAAAAUAAUAUUUUGUUUUAACUUGUGUCUCUUUGGUAUCUGCUAGCCACUCAUUUAUAAAUACUUUGUAAAGCAUAGCAAGUCCUCACUUUAGAUGGGCUCACACCAUGUAGUCAACUAAUCCGUAGUAACUCAUGAGUUAAUCAUGAAUUGAAGUGUUGUUAAGUGCUUGUUAAAGAUGCAGUAACACUAACUAUCCGUAGGCAUAUUUCUGAAGGCAUG